ensembl:lncRNA
UGUUAUUAUUGUUUAUCUGACCCAGUACGGAUGAUAUGGACUUCUAUAGGAGCUUUAGGAUCUCAGCAGGCUUGUUUAUGUCUCGCUCUCCUGACCCCCCACAGAACCCUGCUCGUGAGCCAUUCAGACACAUUAAAUAUUGAAAGCUCAGAGUUUCCAUUUCACACACCCAAAGGGAGGCGGGCGGGCGGCGGGGAGGUGCGAGGAGCCUGGCGGACGCGCAGAAGGCCAGGAGAGGAGAGUAAAAGGUCGCAGCAAAGGUGGGAUCAACGCUCCAGGUGCACGGAGGAGGAGAACGCAUGAGCAGCGAUGGAGGGAGAGCUGCAAGAGCAAGGAGAGAUCAUCCACAGGUACCGCGAGGAGAGGGAGGACGCCGUCAUCAGGUGAUUACUGCAACAUUAGUGGCUGAGCAGGUGGAAUCGCCUGAAAACUAACCUGCUGGUGACCUUCGGCUGGGUCACGGGGGGCCUCUUUUUCUAAACGUUCCUCCUCUCUGACUUUGAGCCGGGCGGAGAGCGACGAGCCCCGGGAGGUCCAGGAUCCUGAGGAGGAGCAGGGCGACCGAGUGGGUGAUGGACAGCAGGAGGCCAUGGUGGCUGUGAUGGACUCAGACAACAGUCCAGACGACCUCCCAGGGUCCCCCCUGCCAGCAGAGGAACAGUUAACAGUGUCAUCUCCUCCCUCCUGCACACACGAUGGCCCACCGGAACCUUGCUGGUACUGUCUGAGGACUCAGGAGUCUGACUCACGGACAGAAACUGGUCAACAGGAGGACUCAGAUUCUGUGUCUCUGCUGCCCUCUGGCGGACAGAGGCUGAACUACCAGACAGACCCUCGGCCACACUUUGGUGUCGCCUGGUCUUCCCACUCUACGUGUCGCCCCCUGUGGGGCAGUGAGGGACCCUGCUGGGGACAAAGGAACCAGGAGGCGUCUGAUCAGACCCACACGUGUCCCCACUGCCAUCUGGGGAUGGAUUCAGACGCCCUGCGUUGGCACGAGGUUGGCACGGACAUAUCAAACAUUGAUAGAGAGGAAACUCUCACGACAGAUUAAUUUAGAAAGGCUGUUAUGUUCUCUCUGUACAGGCCAAGUGUCUUCUGUUCGAUGGCCUCAGGAACUCAAAAUAAAUGGAGUCCGCUGUGCAGAGAAUGUGCAGACUUUUGCACAUUCUGCUGUGUGCAAAAUGCGUUUCUCUUUUCUAACAACUGCACGCUGAAAUCAAACAUCACCUUUGGUUCUUUUUGUGCUCGCGUUCUUAACAUUGAAUUCUUAAUGUCGCAUCUUUGCGUGGGGUCUAAAUAAUAAUAGAGAAUAUAUAAUUGAUCAUUGGGAGCGACAAAGGGAUCGAUUAAGUAUGUUUUAUAUGGCUUGGAUGUCCCCAAAAUUAUGAUAAAGCCCCCCCCCCCGAACACACACACACACCUCUAAUCCUGAAUCCAGACAGGGGUUAUUUUAGCAUUUACAACAUACAGUGAUUUACAAUAAAACGACAGAGAAUAAAAAUGAAGCAAAAGCAUCUGGAUUAACCACAGUGUAAACAUCAGGACUGAGACAACCGUAAUUAUUGACUAUAACAUGGCCAUUUUAGAGCAAUAUUAAAAACACGAAUAAAUAGUGCGUUCGUGUGUGUGUGUGCGCGCGCGUUGGCGUGUGCAUGCGGGAGAGCAGCUGAGAAUGUGGACUUUUUUUCAGCACUGAGGAGAGACUUAAAAGCGAGUUAAAAAGAGGAACUUACUGGAUAGGACCAUAAAGUGGGACAGAAAAAGGAAUCUGUUAAUAAAGGUGGAUGUGGAAAUAAGGAACAGGAAGGAUGCACACUGGAGUUUCCUAAAUGAAUAACAACUAAUUGGUAGGUGGAGUUGAUCGUAAUUCUUUCGGUGGUGGGGGUUGUGUGUGGGAACACUGACCUACUUCUAUUGUUGUGUGUGCGUGUGCGUGUGCGUUGCAGCAUGAUAAGAGCACUAUUUAAGGGGGCAGGGAUCGAGCAACGAUGCACCGGGGCGCUCCUACAUUCUUGUGUACUCCUGUAAUGACCUACAAUGUAUAUUUUCAGUGGGUUUACUGUCGAACUAUCUGCUGAAUUGUCACAUUGUUCUGUAGUUUAAUAAACAUUUCCAGGAUGGCGAUAUAUAUUUAAUAUAACCGUUUAUGACGGAGGCGUUUUCGUUCAAUAUCGUUUGUUUAAAGGUUUUAAAUUCAAAUAUUUCCUUAAAUGAAUGUAAAUCCCAACAGGCCCUGACUGAAGAUUAGCCUUAGCGACGCAUCAUCAUCAUCAUCUUCUUCAUCAUCAUCCUCCUCCUUCCUGUUAUUGGCCGUCAAAAAUCAGGCACAGUCACGUGACCCCAGUAAGCUGGGCUGUGGGCGUGGCCUGCCAUGGCGCGUC